rnacentral:rRNA from 1 species
AAUGAAACUGCGAAUGGCUCAUUAAAACAGUUAUAGUUUAUUUGGUAAUCAAACUUACAUGGAUAACCGUGGUAAUUCUAGAGCUAAUACAUGCUGUUGUGCCCGACUCUNGAAGGGCCGUAUUUAUUAGAUAUGCACCCAAUAAGCAUCUGCUAUUGUGGUGACUCAUAGUAACUUAAUCGGAUCGCAUGGGCUUGUCCCGCGACAAACCAUUCAAGUUUCUGCCCCAUCAUGCUUUCGAUGGUAGUGUAUUGGACUACCAUGGCUUUCACGGGUAACGGAGGAUUAUGGUUCGAUUCCGGAGAGGGAGCCUGAUAAACGGCUACCACUUCCACGGAAGGCAGCAGGCGCGUAAAUUACCCAAUCCUAAUUCAUGGAGGUAGUGACAAGAAAUAAUGGGUCGGUGCUACGCACCGGGACUGCAAUGAGACGAAUUUACACCCCUUAUCGAGGACCAAUUGCAAGGCAAGUCUGGUG